rnacentral:rRNA from 1 species
GACCCUGGCUCAGGAUGAACGCUGGCGGCGUGCUUAACACAUGCAAGUCGAACGAAGCACUUUAUUUGAUUUCCUUCGGGACUGAUUAUUUUGUGACUGAGUGGCGGACGGGUGAGUAACGCGUGGGUAACCUGCCUUGUACAGGGGGAUAACAGUUGGAAACGGCUGCUAAUACCGCAUAAGCGCACAGCAUCGCAUGAUGCAGUGUGAAAAACUCCGGUGGUAUAAGAUGGACCCGCG